rnacentral:rRNA from 1 species
UACAGAGGUCUCAAGCGUUGUUCGGAUUUAUUGGGCGUAAAGGGUGCGCAGGCUGUAUGGUAAGUUUGGUGUGAAAUCCUGGGGCUUAACCCCAGAAUUGCACUGAAUACUGCCGUGCUAGAGGACUGGAGAGGAGAUUGGAAUUCACGGUGUAGCAGUGAAAUGCGUAGAUAUCGUGAGGAAGACCAGUGGCGAAGGCGAAUCUCUGGACAGUUCCUGACGCUCAUGCACGAAGGCCAGGGGAGCAAACGGG